rnacentral:rRNA from 1 species
UACGGAGGGCGCAAGCGUUAAUCGGAAUCACUGGGCGUAAAGCGCGCGUAGGCUGUCUGAUAAGUCAGACGUGAAAUCCCUCGGCUCAACCGGGGAACUGCGUUUGAUACUGUUGGACUCGAGUCCUGGAGAGGGUGGCGGAAUUCCUGGUGUAGGAGUGAAAUCCGUAGAUAUCAGGAGGAACACCGGUGGCGAAGGCGGCCACCUGGACAGGUACUGACGCUGAGGCGCGGAAGCGUGGGGAG